GUUCAUUUUGAUACAGUGGGUUUUUCAUUUGUAAAGGUUAGUAGAUUGUCCGUGUUGGUAGAGCUAUAGAGGAGCUACUAGAUUUAAAACCUUACCAUUGUAAAACAACACAUUUCAACUGUUAGGGCUUCGUGAAAAGACAAACCAAUCCUGUAAAAUACAUUGUAGAAUGAGAUCCCGUUUUGUAAGAGUGUUUACAUGAUUGUAGGGUUUGGAUUCCUUUGACAUUCUCUCUGUUAGCGUCUACGUUGUUUCCUAGCUACUGGGGUUAGGAUUAGGAACGGGGUUAAAGUUAAGGACUGGGCAAGUGUUAGGGUUAGGAUUAGGUUAGGAUUAUGGUUAAGGUUGGGAUUAGGUUAGGAUUAGGGUUAAGGUUGGGGUUAAGGUUAGGUUAGGAUUGGGGUUAAGGUUGGGGUUAAGGUUGGGAUUAGGUUAGGAUUAGGGUUAAGGUUGGGGUUAAGGUUAGGUUAGGAUUAGGUUAGGAUUAGGGUUAAGGUUGGGAUUAGGUUAGGAUUAGGGUUAGGGUUAAGGUUGGGGUUAGGUUAGGUUAGGAUUGGGGUUAAAGUUAAGGACUGGGCAAGUGUUAGGGUUAGGAUUAGGUUAGGAUUAUGGUUAAGGUUGGGAUUAGGUUAGGAUUAGGGUUAAGGUUGGGGUUAAGGUUAGGUUAGGAUUAGGUUAGGAUUAGGGUUAAGGUUGGGAUUAGGUUAGGAUUAGGUUAGGGUUAAGGUUGGGGUUAGGUUAGGUUAGGAUUGGGGUUAAAGUUAAGGACUGGGCAAGUGUUAGGGUUAGGAUUAGGUUAGGAUUAGGGUUAGGAUUAAGGUUGGGUUAGGUUAGGUUAGGAUUGGGGUUAAAGUUAAGGACUGGGCAAGUGUUAGGGUUAGGAUUAGGUUAGGAUUAGGGUUAAAUUUGGGGUUAGGUUAGGUUAGGAUUGGGAUUAAAGUUAAGGACUGGGCAAGUGUUAGGGUUAGGAUUAGGGUUAAGGUUGGGAUUAGGUUAGGAUUAGGGUUAAGGUUGAGGUUAAGGCUGAAGCUCAGGGUUAGGAUUAAGGUUAUGGUUGGGGAGGUGGGGGUAAAAUGGGGUAUUAGAAAGGCACCGAAAGGUUGCAAGAUCGAGUC
ensembl:lncRNA